rnacentral:piRNA from 1 species
GUAGUCAAGGUGGUGCUCCUGUUUCAUUC